rnacentral:lncRNA from 1 species
CGACGGUGAUAUUCAAUGAAUAUGCAUAAGUAUGUCAUGCCCUCAACUCAAGCAUAAUAUAUAGGCCAGCACACAUAUGCAGCCGAUUCAUUAUGAGUAUAUUCCCCACUGUACCAACGACCUUGAUGGUUGAUCGACUGAACAUCACAAGAAAAGGCCGACUCUGAUCCAAAACAAAGUUCUUCGAGUUCUCUUGGACUUCAUUGAAUCAAAACAGUUAUCUACGAACAAAGAAGCUGAUGGGACUUCGUGAUGAUCAAAGCAGUUCAAUUUGUCGGAAAACUUCACACAUGUUUGAAGGAUACUUGAUGAUUUGAAUUGGUAGAAUUUUAGCCUAUUAUAGGAUACAAUUCGCAGUGGAAAUUGAAGACGUCUUCUCAGAAAUUUAAAGUCUGGUUUUUGAGAUUAACAUUUGCGGACAGGAUUUGAACUUGUCACAGGAAAUUUUGAAGAAGACUCCUCACACGCGCCGACAACAUGGAUCGAGAAGACAAAGUCCACCACGCCAUUCUCAAACAGGGAUUUCAUGAGAAAAUGCACGCAUCGUUCGUGACGUUUGUGUUCCGUCCAAGAACAGCCGUCGGCUUCACCGUUGUUCUCAUCGCGGUGGCUCUCUUGACGCAGUCGUUGAGGGCGACGUUUCUUGCUGCCGUGGGAUGCAGUCUGGCCGUUGCGGUUCUGUACGUGGUGUGGUUUGCUGUGAUGUACUUUUUUGCGUAUGUUUGGACCAGGAUUGUGCGGUGGAUGAAAAAGACAGGCCCGUAAAGUGUUGGCUUGUAUAAUAAAACCAUAGAGAAAGGACAACAAAGCAAAGUGCGAACUACAAGUCUGAUAGUAGGCCGAGGCCUAAAUUUUUUUGUUCAGUGGAUCUUGGUGCCAGUUGCCAUGAAGUCAUAAAAGUGGGGAACAAGGUUAUAGGUCAGCUCGCAUCUGAAUAGACAGUGUGGAAGUUUAAUAGUCCGAUAAUUUGGUCAUGACCUUUUUGGGAAAACAUCUCUUUUUCCAGCGUUCCAUUAAUUUUAGGACGUCGGUUGUACUCGUACUCUAGUGAUUUAAAUGGUGCAAUGUAUCAAACUUCGGCUUGUCUCCAGUUCGUCUUCCUGAUCUCCUAGCCAUGAUUCCAGAACCAUUAAGCUCCGUCCAAUUAUGUUUUGACCAAUCACAGGAGUGCACAAAAAGUCCCACACGCGUGCACGCACGCGCGGCACGUAUGACGCGCACGACUGCAGAACGUGCAUUGUAGCACGUGUUAGUUGCCCAGUGCGCAGUGGGCGGGGCUUAAUGGGCCGCCGAAACCGGAGGCGAAGGCAAGGUUUGGCAAACACUAAUGGUGCUGGUAUUUUGUUUGCUUAAAACUGUCGAAACUGCUGCAUUCGAAGUGACCUUUCAAACUUGUGUUUAGAAUCAAUUUUUCAGCUUCAGAUAUUCCUCAAAAUUUCUUUAUUUUAGCCUUUAGACUGUCAGCAUAAAAAAAAAGACAGACACUGAAGACAACCAGUUUAUUUUGUUAGAUAUAGAUAUGCGACAUUUAUUUAAAGCCAUGCAUGGUAUGGACAUUAUACAGGCUGAUACGGCAUAAGACCUGUAAGAAAGCUUUAAAAUUAACAAUAAAAUAUCUAUUGCGAAAAUAUCAAUAUUUUGGUGAAGCACAAAGCAUCAUAUCUUUGGACUAUUUUUAAUUUCUUUCCAGAAGAAACUAACAUAGGCCUACAACCAAAAUCAACAAUGAUAUCUAAAUUGCUGCAUUAAUGUAAUUUGAAUCUUCAACACAUUGGCUUUGAUUCAGAGGAGGGGCGGAGCAUUGGGGUAGAGGGGGGUGCACAGACGGGUUUUACUCAGUAGCUUGAGGUGUUUGCACUUAAAGGUUGAAUACAGAAAUUGACUGGGAGUGGAUUCGAACCUGUGACCUUUUGAAUGUCGUACCAGAGGGUCUACCAACUGAGCUAUCCAGCCCCAUGUUGGCAUCUCCCUUUCUGUCCAAAUAUUUUCAUUCUAUUCCGAAGCAGCCAGCAAAAAAAAAAAUGCUUCAAACCUGGCAAACGGUGAUCUGGGAUCACUCAGAGUGUAUGCAGCGUUUUAUAAUAAAUUGUUUGAAACAAAACAAUUAUCAAAUUGCCUCCUGUAAACCAUAUCAGGCUAGCUGUAUUCAUAGAUUCAUCUCACGAUAGAUACAAUUCAAUGAUUAACACUUGGCAGUCAUACAUUACAUUUAACAAUGAUCAGACAUACAAGAUUAUGAUCUAUGCUUUAAAGAA